AGCGUACACGGUGGAUGCCCUGGCAGUCAGAGGCGAUGAAGGACGUGCUAAUCUGCGAUAAGCGUCGGUAAGGUGAUAUGAACCGUUAUAACCGGCGAUUUCCGAAUGGGGAAACCCAGUGUGUUUCGACACACUAUCAUUAACUGAAUCCAUAGGUUAAUGAGGCGAACCGGGGGAACUGAAACAUCUAAGUACCCCGAGGAAAAGAAAUCAACCGAGAUUCCCCCAGUAGCGGCGAGCGAACGGGGAGCAGCCCAGAGCCUGAAUCAGUGUGUGUGUUAGUGGAAGCGUCUGGAAAGGCGCGCGAUACAGGGUGACAGCCCCGUACACAAAAAUGCACAUAUUGUGAGCUCGAUGAGUAGGGCGGGACACGUGGUAUCCUGUCUGAAUAUGGGGGGACCAUCCUCCAAGGCUAAAUACUCCUGACUGACCGAUAGUGAACCAGUACCGUGAGGGAAAGGCGAAAAGAACCCCGGCGAGGGGAGUGAAAAAGAACCUGAAACCGUGUACGUACAAGCAGUGGGAGCACGCUUAGGCGUGUGACUGCGUACCUUUUGUAUAAUGGGUCAGCGACUUAUAUUCUGUAGCAAGGUUAACCGAAUAGGGGAGCCGAAGGGAAACCGAGUCUUAACUGGGCGUUAAGUUGCAGGGUAUAGACCCGAAACCCGGUGAUCUAGCCAUGGGCAGGUUGAAGGUUGGGUAACACUAACUGGAGGACCGAACCGACUAAUGUUGAAAAAUUAGCGGAUGACUUGUGGCUGGGGGUGAAAGGCCAAUCAAACCGGGAGAUAGCUGGUUCUCCCCGAAAGCUAUUUAGGUAGCGCCUCGUGAAUUCAUCUCCGGGGGUAGAGCACUGUUUCGGCAAGGGGGUCAUCCCGACUUACCAACCCGAUGCAAACUGCGAAUACCGGAGAAUGUUAUCACGGGAGACACACGGCGGGUGCUAACGUCCGUCGUGAAGAGGGAAACAACCCAGACCGCCAGCUAAGGUCCCAAAGUCAUGGUUAAGUGGGAAACGAUGUGGGAAGGCCCAGACAGCCAGGAUGUUGGCUUAGAAGCAGCCAUCAUUUAAAGAAAGCGUAAUAGCUCACUGGUCGAGUCGGCCUGCGCGGAAGAUGUAACGGGGCUAAACCAUGCACCGAAGCUGCGGCAGCGACGCUUAUGCGUUGUUGGGUAGGGGAGCGUUCUGUAAGCCUGCGAAGGUGUGCUGUGAGGCAUGCUGGAGGUAUCAGAAGUGCGAAUGCUGACAUAAGUAACGAUAAAGCGGGUGAAAAGCCCGCUCGCCGGAAGACCAAGGGUUCCUGUCCAACGUUAAUCGGGGCAGGGUGAGUCGACCCCUAAGGCGAGGCCGAAAGGCGUAGUCGAUGGGAAACAGGUUAAUAUUCCUGUACUUGGUGUUACUGCGAAGGGGGGACGGAGAAGGCUAUGUUGGCCGGGCGACGGUUGUCCCGGUUUAAGCGUGUAGGCUGGUUUUCCAGGCAAAUCCGGAAAAUCAAGGCUGAGGCGUGAUGACGAGGCACUACGGUGCUGAAGCAACAAAUGCCCUGCUUCCAGGAAAAGCCUCUAAGCAUCAGGUAACAUCAAAUCGUACCCCAAACCGACACAGGUGGUCAGGUAGAGAAUACCAAGGCGCUUGAGAGAACUCGGGUGAAGGAACUAGGCAAAAUGGUGCCGUAACUUCGGGAGAAGGCACGCUGAUAUGUAGGUGAAGUCCCUUGCGGAUGGAGCUGAAAUCAGUCGAAGAUACCAGCUGGCUGCAACUGUUUAUUAAAAACACAGCACUGUGCAAACACGAAAGUGGACGUAUACGGUGUGACGCCUGCCCGGUGCCGGAAGGUUAAUUGAUGGGGUCAGCGCAAGCGAAGCUCUUGAUCGAAGCCCCGGUAAACGGCGGCCGUAACUAUAACGGUCCUAAGGUAGCGAAAUUCCUUGUCGGGUAAGUUCCGACCUGCACGAAUGGCGUAAUGAUGGCCAGGCUGUCUCCACCCGAGACUCAGUGAAAUUGAACUCGCUGUGAAGAUGCAGUGUACCCGCGGCAAGACGGAAAGACCCCGUGAACCUUUACUAUAGCUUGACACUGAACAUUGAGCCUUGAUGUGUAGGAUAGGUGGGAGGCUUUGAAGUGUGGACGCCAGUCUGCAUGGAGCCGACCUUGAAAUACCACCCUUUAAUGUUUGAUGUUCUAACGUUGACCCGUAAUCCGGGUUGCGGACAGUGUCUGGUGGGUAGUUUGACUGGGGCGGUCUCCUCCUAAAGAGUAACGGAGGAGCACGAAGGUUGGCUAAUCCUGGUCGGACAUCAGGAGGUUAGUGCAAUGGCAUAAGCCAGCUUGACUGCGAGCGUGACGGCGCGAGCAGGUGCGAAAGCAGGUCAUAGUGAUCCGGUGGUUCUGAAUGGAAGGGCCAUCGCUCAACGGAUAAAAGGUACUCCGGGGAUAACAGGCUGAUACCGCCCAAGAGUUCAUAUCGACGGCGGUGUUUGGCACCUCGAUGUCGGCUCAUCACAUCCUGGGGCUGAAGUAGGUCCCAAGG
rnacentral:rRNA from 1 species